UACGUAGGGUGCAAGCGUUAAUCGGAAUUACUGGGCGUAAAGCGUGCGCAGGCGGUUGUGCAAGACAGAUGUGAAAUCCCCGGGCUCAACCUGGGAACUGCAUUUGUGACUGCACAGCUAGAGUACGGUAGAGGGGGAUGGAAUUCCGCGUGUAGCAGUGAAAUGCGUAGAUAUGCGGAGGAACACCGAUGGCGAAGGCAAUCCCCUGGACCUGUACUGACGCUCAUGCACGAAAGCGUGGGGAGCAAACAGG
rnacentral:rRNA from 1 species